CACCGUUAAAAACAAAAACUUAUUGGAAAAAUAAGAAGCUAAUAAUUAUCAAUCGAUCAUUGAUUGAUUGCAGAGAAGCCGCGAAAGAGAUAAUCUCCAAAUCUGAGUCGUCGCAAUCCUCCGAUCCAGGUGCAAGAUUAUUGUUUUACUACCCUUCACACGAAUGACGACUUCUGUUUGUCCGUUCUCGAAAGCUGCUCGUCCUGAAGAUGCUUCUUCCACUCGAAAACAGGGCGAGAUGACUGCUUCUGGUUGCCCUUUUUCUUCUAAAGCUGCUCCUCCCGACGAUGCUUCUGCUCGGAAACAAGGCGAAACGGCUGCUUCUGGUUGAAUAAGGACACUACUGAUUCUGCAACUGUGCCUGCCAAGUGCCCUUUUGGUUAUGACUCCCAAACAUUCAAGCUUGGCCCUUUUAUCUGUAUGCUAUGUCAAUCACUUCUGUAUGAUAGCAGUAGAUGUGUACCUUGUACUCAUGUGUUUUGCAAAGUGUGCUUAUCACGGUUUAAGGACUGCCCUCUGUGCGGUGCUGACAUUGAAAGCAUUCAAGCUGAUGAAAACCUUCAAAAGAUGGUUGAUCAAUUUAUUGAAGGCCAUGCUAGAAUCAAGAGAACUGUUGUCAAUGGCACAGAACAAAGAAGAGGUCGAAAAUGAUAACACAAAAGUGAUUUACGCUGAUGUUUCCAUGGAAAGAGGUUCUUUCUUGGUGCAACAAGCUAUGAGGUGCCCAGAAAGUGCUAAAUCAAGGUUGGCAAUGUGUACCGAAGACAUUCGGGAUCAACUAGGGAGGGAGGGCAAUACACCAGAGUUAAGCUCACAGCUUGGUGCAGUCCUUGGUAUGCUUGGCGGCUGCAGCCGAGAAAUGGGAGACUCAAGCUCUGCAGUCAAUCAUUUCGAAGAGAGUAUUGAAUUCCUUAUGAAACUGCCAAUGAAUGAUUUGGAGAUUACAUAUACACUUUAUGUCUCACUCAAUAAAAUAGGAGAUCUUAAAUACUAUGACCAAGAUCUACAAAGCUGCAAGGUCAUAUUACUAUCGUGCUUUAAAUGUUAAGAACCUCUUUCCAUGGAAACAUCAGCCGAUCAGCGUAAAUCACUUUUUUUGAACCUCUAUUUGAGUUUGAUCAGGGUGCUCUAUUAACACAAAACUUGUCUGCAGAAGAACCUUUGGCCCUUGGUUUAGACACUUACUAUAAGCAGCAUUAUCUCUCAUUGGCUACUGCUGCAGCUACAAUCAAAUGGUUUCGACAUCCUCAACUUUUUUGCUUCAAGAUACAGAUUUUGGAUUAGCUCUUAGGUUAUGGAUAGUCUCUUCCAGAUACAGAUUUUGGAUACUCUUAGGUUAGUGGCUUUGCAAGAACGAUUACCGGUUCCAUUAUAAGGAAACCUAUUCAAAUUGUUUUGAUCUUUUUUUUUUCUUUCUUGUUCUAUAGAUACAAGGAAAAGGGGAACUGAACUGGUUACUCUUUAGUUUCCGGAUUAUACAGUAUGCAUGAAUGUUUUAUUUGUAGAUCGUAAGCUAUCUAUCUA